UGCGUCCAAGAGAGAGCCCACACACGUGGUUGGAUGCAGCUGGAGAUGGAGAAUUCCAGUUCAAGGAAAAGGCCUGGGCAUGUAGAAGCACGAGGCUGAUGACUCAUUUACCAUUGGAAGACUUCAAAUCCAAACUGCAGUUGUCAAAAUAAGAUUAGUGCUUUCAGACAUGAUGAAAGAGAGGGCAUGGUCUCGAAAAGGCAAGCUUGGGUUUUGCCUGCAUUUGUGGAGCCCUAACUCAUAGCAAGCUUUCCUGUGGGAGUGGGCAGAGACCCCAUCGUUUACCCAGUUGAGUGAAAUGGCAGCCCUAAUAACCCACUUCUCCUUCUCUCUUGCUGUGAUAAACAAUUUCUGAUUUCUACAUCUCAGAUUAAAUAACAGCAAGAGCUAUAAAAAGUA
rnacentral:ncRNA from 2 species